UAGCUCAGUUGGUUAGAGCACCACCUUGACAUGGUGGGGGUCGUUGGUUCGAAUCCA
rnacentral:tRNA from 1 species